CCCCAAUGUUGGAGGCGGGGCCUGGCGGGAGGUGUGGGAUCAUGGGGGCAGAUCCCUCAUGAAGCGAUUGGGCCAUCGCCAUGGUGAUAAAUGAGGUCUCACUCUGUGAGUUCACAGGAGGCUGGCACCUCCCUCUCUCUCUUGAUUGUGCUUUGGCCAAGUGAGAUGCUGGCUCCUCCUUCACCUUGUACCAUGAUUAGAAGCUUCCUGAGGCCCCCAGAAGCAGACGCUGGUGCCAUGCUUCUCAUACAGCCUACAAAGCCAUGCGCCGAGUCAAUCUCUUUUCUUCAUAAAUCGCACAGUCUCAGCCCCGAGGUCAGGAAUUGUGGAUGAAUCGGCCCCGAUUGUAUCCCAAGCACCAAGCCCAGGGGCAGGAGUGGAGGAGCUACAGCAUAGAGCAGUGGAGAGGAGGACAUAAAAUACCAUCAGCCAGAUUAUCUGUGCUUUGAUAAAAUUAACAAGGUGGGGAAUUCAUGGGCAGCUCUGACUUCCUGUCUCCUGUGCGCUGUGGCAAAGGCCGAUCAUCACAUGCGCUACAGAGAGUUUUGUUGAGCCCACAGUGAAGACACUUCAUAUGUUGCAGACAGGUCCCCAGGUCUGUGUCUUUUGUGAUUUUGUUCGGCGAGCCAAGAAACAUGAGUUUCUUGCCCUGAAAAUCCAAGCUGUACCAUUUCCAAAGAAGCAGUCAUCAGAAAAGAAUACGGUGUGGUAGGAGUUUAAUUCCAGCAUCCAGAGCAAAGAAACAAGUUGUCAGCUUGCACCUCAUUGAAUAAAUGUCUUCUGAGUCACAGACUACUUUUCCACUGAAGCCAACCUCCUUCUGAAUUUUGUGGCAGGGUCUUGGCCACAAAGCUCAGCAGUACAUAUCUCAGAAGGUACCAGGAGAGGGCCGUUGAAGUCCCUGAGGGUGGUGAUGGGCACACAGUGCCGCUGGUCCCCUGGCACUGGCUGUCUGUCGGAGUUCCCCUCUGUAUGUGCCACCGUGACCUGACCUAACAGGCUUACCCAGCCCUGGGUUACCCAACCUUGGAGAAAUAGGAGGGGUUUGGGGGAUGAUUCUUAUGACUUGGGCAAUAAUGAAGUACGGCAGGGGCCUUGACAUUGUAUCUCCUGGAAUACAGUGUGUCUCCUGACAUUCUUAGACCCCCUCAGAGUGGAAAUGAAGCCCUCAGCAAUGAGCAAAAACCACCCACGUUUUGAUUUUAAGAUGGUCCAUCUCAUUUGACAUCACUCCUCUGUCCCAUUGGGCAAUUUCUUGGA